GUACGACCUGCUCAAUGAAAAUUAAAUAGCCGCAAAUUAUGUGCUAAGGUAGCAUAAUCAUUAGUUCCUUAAUUAGGAAAUAGAAUGAAAGGUCAAACGAAGCGGACCCUGUCUCAUUUAAGUAAUCCAAACUUUUCCUAAUAGUAAAAAGACUAUUAUCAAUAAACAAGACGACAAGACCCUGAUAAACUUUCCUUUCAGCUGGGGUGGCAGAUUAAAAACACCUUAUUAAAUAACUACACAGCCCUAAUAAAAUUAUCAGAUUAAGUUACUACAGGGAUAACAGCGCUACCUCUUUCUAAAGCCCUAAUCCAAAAAGAGAACUACGACCUCGAUGUUGAAUUAAUUAUCCUAUCUAGGGCAAAACCUAGCACAAGGGGGUCUGUUCGACCUUUAAUAAAUU
rnacentral:rRNA from 1 species